rnacentral:lncRNA from 1 species
UGUAAUAAAAACCGUACCGUGCCGGCCGGUUCCUUACCGGCACGGUAUGCUAUUAAGACCGGUCGUGCAAUAGAACCGGAGUAAAAUUGUCAAAACCGGGCGAUUUUGAUGAAAACCGGCUAACCGGUCAAUUAUUUCUCAACCGGCCGAUUCACUGUUAUUAAGAGAAGGCAAAUGAAGAACAUGUUAUACCAUUUAUUCUGAAAUCCCUAAGUCUAAGACUCUAAGAGGAUAUGAAAUCCCUAACCUUCCACUCCAUAGUUGUGUUCCACUUUCCUAAAAGAAAAGAUAUUUAUGUUUAUUCUCCAUCUUCAUCCAGUUCAUAGCUGGAAAACCGUGAACGAAAAAAGAAGGUGUUAACAUGCCAUGUAUCUUUUCCAUCUUCAGUACUUUAAACAGUAUUGUAGAAGAAUGAGAGAAAAAAUUCAGAGUUUUCUCUGGUUUGUGACUGGGGUACCUCACCUUCCUCCACGAGAACUAGAGUCUUCUUCUCUUUCUCCAAAGUUUUUCAAGUUGAUUAUCUCGUGCACUGUGGCACUGUGCAGAGAUUAUAUGAUAUUCACUAUCCAGUUUUUAAUAUCACAAGAAAAAGUAGGUGUAGUGGCACAGUGCAGAGGUUAUGUGUUCAUAUAUAACUUUCUUUUAUGAGUUUAUGUAUUUGUUAUAGAUUAUAUAUUACAAGAUAAUAAUAGGUGUAGUGGUCUAGAGAAGUUAUAGAACCUAGGUUUAGAGAAAGAGAAGUCAUAAAUUUUGGGUGUUGUGACAGCAUGGUGAACUGCCCAAAAAAAAUUCAGGACAUUAGUUUUGCUUUUGCC